UACGGGGGGGGCAAGCGUUGUUCGGAAUUACUGGGCGUAAAGGGCUCGUAGGCGGCCAACUAAGUCGGAUGUGAAAUCCCCAGGCUCAACUUGGGAACUGCAUCCGAUACUGGAUGGCUUGAAUUCGGGAGAGGGGUGCAGAAUUCCAGGUGUAGCGGUGAAAUGCGUAGAUAUCUGGAGGAAUACCGGUGGCGAAGGCGGCAUCCUGGACCGACAUUGACGCUGAGGAGCGAAAGCUAGGGGAGCAACGGG
rnacentral:rRNA from 1 species